rnacentral:rRNA from 1 species
ACGCACGCUGGCGGCGUGCUUAACACAUGCCAGUCGAACGCUGAAGCUCAGCUUGCUGGGUGGAUGAGUGGCGAACGGGUGAGUAACACGUGAGUAACCUGCCCUCUUCUUUGGGAUAACGCCCGGAAACGGGUGCUAAUACUGGAUAUUCACUGAUUCUCGCAUGGGGGUUGGUGGAAAGGUUUUUUCUGGUGGGGGAUGGGCUCGCGGCCUAUCAGCUUGUUGGUGGGGUGAUGGCCUACCAAGGCUUUGACGGGUAGCCGGCCUGAGAGGGUGACCGGUCACAUUGGGACUGAGAUACGGCCCAGACUCCUACGGGAGGCAGCAGUGGGGAAUAUUGCACAAUGGGCGAAAGCCUGAUGCAGCGACGCCGCGUGAGGGAUGGAGGCCUUCGGGUUGUAAACCUCUUUCGCUCAUGGUCAAGCCGCAGCUUUGGGUUGUGGUGAGGGUAGUGGGUAAAGAAGCGCCGGCUAACUACGUG